rnacentral:rRNA from 1 species
GACGAACGCUGGCGGCGCGCUUAACACAUGCAAGUCGAGCGAUGAAAUCUCGACAGAUCCCUUUGGGGUGAAGACGAACUGGAGUAGCGGCGGACGGGUGAGUAACACGUGAGUAACCUGCCUUUGACAUUGGGAUAGCCUCGGGAAACUGGGAGUAAUAGCAAAUGACACUAACUGAUCACAUGAUCAAGUAGUCAAAGAAAUUCGGUCAAAGAUCGACUCGCGGCGGAUUAGCUAGUUGGUGAGGUAACGGCCCACCAAGGCGACGAGCCGUGGCCGGCCUGGGAGGGUGCUCCACCGCGUUUGAACUGCGGCACAGACCCCUCUCCUACGGGGGGCAGCAGUGGAGAGUAUUACGCGAUGAAGGCUAACGUGGUGCAGCGGCGCCGCGUAUGCGAAGAAGGCCUUCGUGUCGUAAAUCUCUCUUAUGAGAGAAGUUAAUGACGGUACCUCAAGAAGAAGCCCCGGCUAACUACGUG